rnacentral:misc_RNA from 1 species
AUUCUCUGAGAUUCGAAUCAACUUUAUCUAAGAGGUGGCAUCGGGCACGCAAGAACUCCAGUGCACCAUUAUUCCGUGAAUACGGAGCAAUAUCAUCUCAGCAAUAACGAUUUGGGUCGCGAAAGCCGUGGCUGUGAACCGACUACGUUUGGUUCCCGAUUGAUUCACUUGUCUUGAUUCCCGCGUACUUUGAGUACAAUGCAACAUAACUGAGAACACGUAUAUCUCGACUUAGGGGUGGGAUGAGAAGGCGGUUGCCAGAGAUGGAAGGAGCAUCGCUGUUGAAAGGGAUACCUUGCGAUUGCUCGAAGAAAUCCAAGCUAAGAGGAUACUUUCAGAGAUUUUACGAUGUUGGCUCAGCGUUUCUCUCGGCUUCCCGUAAAAUUAAAUCCAUAGAUUUGAGGUAGCUGGUUUUGCUCCUUCGCGAUCUUUACAUGAACUAUAUAUAUCGAGCCGAAUAUCGGCACGUCGAAUAUCUCAAUAUCGAACGAAAGAAUCGCAGUUUCUUUUGCUGAUCGUAAAGAAACAGAUUAAAGGCGAGCCUCUACCGCGAUCAUCGUAAUAAAUGUCAUCCCUAGUCGAAAUGGCUACCUUUAUUCCAAAUUUUACGGGUAUAUAUAUCGUCACGUUCAAUUCAUAUUUGAAUGACAAUUACCACAUCGCGCCAUCAAACUCAACUUCAGAAAUUCUCUACAUUCUAUGUAGACGAUCAAGAGGUUGAAGGUGUUUGACAAAAUUUGAAGUACCAUAGUUUGUUUAAUCUAUUUGCCAGGAAAACAAGUUAACCUGUCACUAGCAUUUCUAAUUUCUUAAAUUUUUAAAUUCAUCUUUUGAAGCCAUUAUUUAUAUCAUUUCUUAAAAUGUAAAUGUAAAUGUAAUGUAAUAUGUCUUUAAGAAAUUAAAUUACAGAAAGAAAUUACCCGAAACAAAAUCGAUCAAAUAGAAAUUAAU